AACGAACGCUGGCGGCAGGCUUAACACAUGCAAGUCGAACGCCCCGCAAGGGGAGUGGCAGACGGGUGAGUAACGCGUGGGAAUCUACCGUGCCCUGCGGAAUAGCUCCGGGAAACUGGAAUUAAUACCGCAUACGCCCUACGGGGGAAAGAUUUAUCGGGGUAUGAUGAGCCCGCGUUGGAUUAGCUAGUUGGUGGGGUAAAGGCCUACCAAGGCGACGAUCCAUAGCUGGUCUGAGAGGAUGAUCAGCCACAUUGGGACUGAGACACUGCCCAAGCUCCUACGGGAGGCAGCAGUGGGGAAUAUUGGACAAUGGGCGCAAGCUUGAUCCAUCCAUGCCGCGUGAGUGAUGAAGGCCUUAGGGUUGUAAAGCUCUUUCACCGAUGAAGAUAAUGACGGUAGUCGGAGAAGAAGCCCCGGCUAACUUCGUGCCAGCCGCCGCCGUAA
rnacentral:rRNA from 1 species